rnacentral:lncRNA from 1 species
CGAGGCUCCUGAGGGAAGGCAGUGCGCAGCCUUGGCUGUGUCUCUGCAGAAUCUUGUGUGCUUGCUGCGUGGUGUCCUCCCAUGCAGUUGCACGAAAUCAUUCUUUUAUUCCUGAUCCUGUUUCCUGUUUAUUUCAUGAACUUGUCUGUAGGCAGCAUGGUGCUGGGCGCUGCAGGGGCUCAUUAAUGCGUGAGACACAGAUUCCACUCAGGAGAGAGAAGACGAACACAGACACAGUACACAGUGGGAAGGGGCACUGCCAUGUCUGCAGCCAGAGAGCCCUUUCAGAAUCUGACCCAAAAGAUGGCCAGUGUUCUAAGAAAAAGCACAUAUGCUUACGAUGUGCAAACAGCUGAAGGUGUUCUUUCAACUAUAGUAAAAGGGGUGUCUCGGUGGCCACAGGCGGCCCAGAUGAAGGUGCUGCUGGGGAAAAUGUCACCACGCUGGUCUUGGGAGGCUCCAUGAGAGGGAGGUGGGACUUGAGAGGGGCUUAGAGCCUGGGUGAGAGGCAAAGAGAAGGCCAGAGACCUUCUGGGUAGAGAGGACCCUCGGGCCAAGGCUCAGAGGUGGAUGAACGGGGGAGCCUUAGGUGGAACAGCACAGGGUGGAACCCGGCAGAGGACAAUGGGAGCUGAUGGAGGCUAGGCCAGAGUGGGGCCUUCAGUGAUGCUUGAACCCCAGGCUUCAGACUCCAGAAGAGCCAAGGGCAGGUGGCCCGGCUGCAGAGCCUGUGGCAGGCAGGCCUCACUAACUAUACCCUUCUGUGUCUUUUGCCUGCAGAGACCUGUCUGGGCCGCAGAGAGAAGAGGAGUCUGGAGGCCCCCCGAGCCAGGCUGAGCCAGCCGCUAGGGGCACGGAGCAGUGCCCACCUUGCGCCCAGUGUGGCCAGAGCUUCGGCCGGAAGGAGCUCAGUGCGCCGCACCAGCGCGUGCAUCGUGGCCCCCGGCCUUUCGCUGGUGCUCAGUGUCCCAAGAGCUUCACGCAGCGGACCACCCCCGCCAGCCACCGUCGGGCGCACGUGGCCGAGUGCACCUACACCCGCGCCCAAUGCGGCAAGACCUUCCUCCAGCAGUCGACGCUCACACCCACUACUGCGCGCACAUCGGGGAGAAGCCCUACGAGUGCGUCAAGCUCUUUGGCCGCCUGUCCACGCUGCUGGAGCACCGGCACACGCACACGGGUUCCCAUGAUCAGUGGUGAAAUAUAGUGAUUUUCACCUGUGCUUCCAUUCUGAAGUUCUGGAAAGAAGUACUGGAUGGACUGAAGUCCAGGACAACGUCCCAAAGAAAGGCAGAGUCCAGGUGGGCUUGGAGGACCAAGCCCUGGAUGAGCACUGGAGGGCAGAGGCCUCAGUGUCCAGCACUGUGCCCUGCACAUGGAAAGCCCCUACGUUUGUG